UUAUUUGCGGGUGUAGCAUCUUCAAGAUUCACAACAUAUGCAAAUAUUAUCGAAAUAAAAAUAAUAUGAUGCUCAAAAAUCUCAACUUGAGAAUCUUGAUGAUGCUGCAUCAGCAAUCAA
rfam:Cucumis melo, WGS project CAJI01000000 data, contig: 03179